rnacentral:rRNA from 1 species
GACGAACGCUGGCGGCGUGCUUAACACAUACCAGUCGAACGGAAAGGCCCUGCUUGCCGGGUGCUCGAGUGGCGAACGGGUGAGUAACACGUGGGUGAUCUGCCCCUUACUUUGGGAUAAGCCUGGGAAACUGGGUCUAAUACUGGAUAGGACCAUGCUGUAGGUGGUGUGGUGGAAAGAUUAGUUUCGGUAAGGGAUGAGCUCGCGGCCUAUCAGCUUGUUGGUGGGGUAAUGGCCUACCAAGGCGUCGACGGGUAGCCGGCCUGAGAGGGUGGACGGCCACAUUGGGACUGAGAUACGGCCCAGACUCCUACGGGAGGCAGCAGUGGGGAAUAUUGCACAAUGGGCGCAAGCCUGAUGCAGCGACGCCGCGUGGGGGAUGACGGCCUUCGGGUUGUAAACUCCUUUCAGCCAUGACGAAGCCCUUGUGGUGACGGUAGUGGUAGAAGAAGCACCGGCUAACUACGUG